AUAAUACAUUCACAUAGUCCAGGAAGUGGACAACCGACCGGAUGUUGUUUUGUGAUCAGUGAUGCGUUUCCAGGGACACAGUAAACUUUGAGGAAGAAGUAGUGUCAUGUUUAGUGUUCACGGUUUACAUUGCUGAAGGAAAAUUACAAGCCUAAACGGAGAAGAGUCGUCAUUUCAAUGUGUUUCACGGACGUAUUGGUAUGUGGAUGUUGACAAUGUCGGACGACAUCAAAGUUGACAUGAGAAGUUGGAGUGAAUACGAGAAGAGCAUGCGAGCUGCCUGCUGCCUACUGCCUACUCCUGCUGCUGCCGCUGCUGCUGUUGCAUUCAAUGUUGGGUAGCCAGCCACCCAUGCACGAUGACAAUGCCAGCAGCGGGCACCCAUGGGGAUGGACCCAGGAGUGGAGGAUGACCCAGUAUGAUGAAAGUUCAGCCCACUCACUGACACCAGUGACACAGUAUUGACCAGAUCUCCUGGAAGUGCCCC